rnacentral:lncRNA from 1 species
AAGAAAUAACCAUAAGUAUCAACAGUGGAACAGCCCAUGCUGCUGCUCUGCCUAUGGAGUAGCCAUUCUUUAUUCCCUUACUUUCUUAAUAAACUCGCUUUCACUUUAUGGAUUCAACUGUAAUUCUUUCUUGUGUGAGAUCCAAGAACCUUCUUGUAGGGUCUGGAUUGGGACCCUUUUCUGGUAACAUCUUCCUGGUGACCAUGAAGGGACAAUACUGAAGAGACCCCUGACCCUAAGGAAAUAGACUGCAGCACCAAUGGGCCAACUUUGGUGAUCUCUGGCUGCUGCUCAGAAGAAACAAGAGGGAGGGAUGAAUAAUGUAAAACUCUGGAUCAAUAUUCUAAUUCUGAGCCUCUAUUGGAAUCAGCUAGCAACCACAUAUCAGCUUGGUUUCAACAGUUUCCCAGUUCAUGGUUUGUGGCAAGCUGGAUUGAGCAAGUCUGUUGGCGCCAUUUUUUCAACAGCAUGUAGUCACUUUGUGUCUUCGUGUCACAUUUUGCUAAUUCUUACAAUCUGUCUCGUGAUUUUUUGGGGGGCACCAUGGGGGGGCACCAUGAACCACACCUAUACAAGAUGGCAAACUUAAUCAAUAAAUGUUUAUUUUCUAACUGCUUUA